rnacentral:rRNA from 1 species
CAGUCGCCACGGGAAUACGUAGGUGGCAAGCGUUGUCCGGAAUUAUUGGGCGUAAAGGGCUCGCAGGCGGUUUCUUAAGUCUGAUGUGAAAGCCCCCGGCUCAACCGGGGAGGGUCAUUGGAAACUGGGAAACUUGAGUGCAGAAGAGGAGAGUGGAAUUCCACGUGUAGCGGUGAAAUGCGUAGAGAUGUGGAGGGACACCAGUGGCGAAGGCGACUCUCUGGUCUGUAACUGACGCUGAGGAGCGAAAGCGUGGGGAGCGAACAGGAUUAGAUACCCCAGUAGUCCCUGUCUCUUAUAC